GUGAAGGAAUGGAUGACUGGUGACAGAGUGAGAGAGGGGGUGACUAAUGACAGAGUGAGAGAGGGUGUGACUAGUGACAGAGUGAGAGAGGGGGUGACUGUCACUAGUCACCCCAUCCCUCUCUCUGUCACUAGUCACUCCCUCCCUAACUCUGUCACUGUGUCACCCCCUCCCUCACUCUGUCACUAGUCACCCCCUCUCUCACUAUGUCACUAGUCACCCCCUCCCUCAC